CCUACGGGAGGCAGCAGUGGGGAAUUUUGGACAAUGGGGGCAACCCUGAUCCAGCAAUGCCGCGUGUGUGAAGAAGGCCUUCGGGUUGUAAAGCACUUUUGUCCGGAAAGAAAACGUUCUGGUUAAUACCUGGGCGGAUGACGGUACCGGAAGAAUAAGCACCGGCUAACUACGUGCCAGCAGCCGCGGUAAUACGUAGGGUGCGAGCGUUAAUCGGAAUUACUGGGCGUAAAGCGUGCGCAGGCGGUUUUGUAAGACAGGCGUGAAAUCCCCGAGCUCAACUUGGAAUUGCGCUUGUGACUGCAAGGCUAGAGUAUGUCAGAGGGGGGUAGAAUUCCACGUGUAGCAGUGAAAUGCGUAGAGAUGUGGAGGAAUACCGAUGGCGAAGGCAGCCCCCUGGGACGUCACUGACGCUCAUGCACGAAAGCGUGGGGAGCAAAACAGGAUUAGAUACCCUGGUAGUCCACGCCCUAAACGAUGUCAACUAGUUAUUGGGGGAUUCAUUUCUUCUAGUAACGUAGCUAACGCGUGAAGUUGACCGCCUGGGGAGUACGGUCGCAAGAUUAAACUCAAAUGAAUUGACG
rnacentral:rRNA from 1 species